AUGGCUCAGGAUGAACGCUAGCGGCAGGCCUAACACAUGCAAGUCGCGGGGCAGCACGGGUAGCAAUACCUGGUGGCGACCGGCGCACGGGUGCGUAACGCGUAUGCAACCUCGCCCCCAUCAGGGGGAAUAGCCCGCCGAAAGGCGGAUUAAUGCCCCAUAGGCCCAGGGCGCCGCAUGGCGCUAUGGGUAAAGCUCCGGCGGAUGGGGAUGGGCAUGCGUGCCAUUAGCUAGUUGGGGCGGUAACGGCGCACCAAAGGCGACGAUGGCUAGGGGGUCUGAGAGGAUGGUCCCCCACACUGGUACUGAGACACGGACCAGACUCCUACGGGAGGCAGCAGUGAGGAAUAUUGGUCAAUGGGCGGAAGCCUGAACCAGCCAUGCCGCGUGCAGGAAGAAGGAUCUAUGGUUCGUAAACUUCUUUGCGAGGGGAAUAAAGUGCAGGACGUGUCCUGUUUUGUAUGUACCCUGAGAAUAAGGAUCGGCUAACUCCGUGCCAGCCGCGGC
rnacentral:rRNA from 1 species